GCUUGGUCCAGCUUCAAACCCCACUGCAGAAAGAGAUUAUUUUUGGAAGAGAAGAUAUUCCUUUCCACCCACAGAUCUGAAAAUGGUCACCUCUCCGGAAGAGAAGAGGAAAGACAAUCCCACACAGAGGUGAAACAUACCCCCUUUGCACCCCACUGCAGGACAGCACACCAAAGGCCAGACUGGAAAUGCCCUCCCAUUACAGCCAYGUCAGGUCCCCAGCACAGACCUGCAGGUGACCUAGUUCAAGAGAUCUAAGAACCAAAACAGAUCUUCCAGUUUCAGAAAGCAUGGGAGGCAUACCUGACCUACUGAAGAAAAGACUACAGUUGAUCACCCGACAGCUUCUCAUAACCUCCCCCCAACACACACCACAGACCUUCAUCACUGGCCUCAUGAAAAUAAAAGAUGGAGGAAUGUGACCGAAAGCAAAGGCCUCCCCAAACCUUCAUCCUAGAGGGAAAGAAGGUCCAGCAUCUCAAAAUGUGCAGACCCCUGAAUAAACAUGUCUAAUGUGAAAGAUCA
ensembl:lncRNA